AUUGAACGCUGGCGGCAUGCUUUACACAUGCAAGUCGAACGGUAACAGGUCUUCGGAUGCUGACGAGUGGCGAACGGGUGAGUAAUGUAUCGGAACGUGCCCAGUAGUGGGGGAUAACUACUCGAAAGAGUGGCUAAUACCGCAUGAGAACUGAGGUUGAAAGCGGGGGACCGUAAGGCCUCGCGCGAUUGGAGCGGCCGAUGUCAGAUUAGCUAGUUGGUGGGGUAAAGGCCCACCAAGGCGACGAUCUGUAGCUGGUCUGAGAGGACGACCAGCCACACUGGGACUGAGACACGGCCCAGACUCCUACGGGAGGCAGCAGUGGGGAAUUUUGGACAAUGGGCGCAAGCCUGAUCCAGCAAUGCCGCGUGCAGGAAGAAGGCCUUCGGGUUGUAAACUGCUUUGUACGGAACGAAAAGGUACCGGGUUAAUACCCUGGGCUCAUGACGGUACCGUAAGAAUAAGCACCGGCUAACUACGUG
rnacentral:rRNA from 1 species